rnacentral:rRNA from 1 species
UACGUAGGGUGCAAGCGUUGUCCGGAAUUAUUGGGCGUAAAGAGCUCGUAGGCGGUUUGUCGCGUCGAAUGUGAAAUCCCGGGGCUCAACCCCGGGUCUGCAUUCGAUACGGGCAGACUGGAGUUCGGUAGGGGAGUCUGGAAUUCCUGGUGUAGCGGCGAAAUGCGCAGAUAUCAGGAGGAACACCGGUGGCGAAGGCGGGACUCUGGGCCGAUACUGACGCUGAGGAGCGAAAGCGUGGGGAGCAAACAGG